AUAGUACAAAGAUUAUUAUCCAAUUAUUAGGUUAACACUUAUCUCUUACAUAUUUUGAUAACUGGUAGGCGUUCCUGGCAUUCCACACAUGCGCCCUGGUUCUAGAUGUUUACAUAGUAAUUUUAACAAUGUGAGGGCCUGAGGUUUUUCUGAGACAUUCUGCAACUUCUAUUACAUUACCCCCUUUCAUGCUUCAACACCUG